AUAGCGUAUAGUACUGUGAAGGAAAGGUGAAAAGCACCCCGGGAGGGGAGUGAAAGAGAACCUGAAACCUUGUGUUUACAAGCACCGAAAGUCCAUCAAAGGACGAUCGGGUACCUUUUGUAGAAUGGUCCGGCGAGUGUAUGUAUCUAGCAAGGUUAAGCACUUAAGGUGUGAAGCCAAAGCGAAAGCAAGUCUGAAAAGGGCGACAAGUUAGAUGUAUACGACCCGAAACCGGGUGACCUACCCAUGGCCAGGCUGAAGUGAAGGUAAAACUUCAUGGAGGGCCGAACCGACUCCCGUUGAAAUGGUAGCGGAUGAGUUGUGGGUAGCGGAGAAAUUCCAAUCGAACCCGGAGAUAGCUGGUUCUCUCCGAAAUAGCUUUAGGGCUAGCCUUGAAAUAGAUUACUGGAGGUAAAGCACUGAAUUGGCUAGGGGCCGAAAGGUUACUGAACCUUAUCAAACUCAGAAUGCCAGAUAAUCGUUUUUCAGGAGUCAGACGGUGGGAGAUAAGUUUCAUCGUCAAAAGGGAAACAGCCCAGACCCACAGCUAAGGUCCCAAAUUAUAGUUAAGUGGAGAAGGAUGUGGGAUUGCAUAGACAACCAGGAUGUUGGCUUAGAAGCAGCCACUCAUUAAAAGAGUGCGUAAUAGCUCACUGGUCGAGUGAUCCCGCGCCGAAAAUUUAACGGGGCUAAACUAUAAACCGAAGCUUGGGAUACCGCAAGGUAUGGUAGGAGAGCGUCAUGUAAGGGGUGAAGUCAUAGCGAAAGCGGUGGUGGACUUUACAUGAGUGAGAAUGCCGGAAUGAGUAGCGAGAAUUAAGUGAGAAUCUUAAUGGCCGAAAGUCUAAGGUUUUUGGAGGAAGGUUCGUCCGCUCCAAGUAAGUCGGGAGCUAAGGCGAGGCCGAAAGGCGUAGUCGAUGCACAUACGGUUGAUAUUCCGUAACCACUGACAACUUAAACAAAAUGACACUUUAGAAGGGCUUGACCCGGGUGCUGGUAAUCCCGGGCGUAAGGGACCGAAAUUUAGUAGGGAAGCAAGCAUAGAUAGAGGCGAGAAAAGUUUUGUGUAUGUAAUGUUGGUGCCCGUACCGCAAACCGACACAGGUGGACAGGAAGAGAAUUCUAAGGCCAGCGGGAGAAGGGUAGUUAAGGAACUCGGCAAAUUGACUCCGUAACUUCGGGAAAAGGAGUGCUCUCGAGAGAGAGCCGCAGUGAAUAGGCCCAGGCGACUGUUUAGCAAAAACACAGGUCUCUGCCAAAUCGAAAGAUGAAGUAUAGGGGCUGACACCUGCCCGGUGCUGGAAGGUUAAGAGGAGGAGUGAGAGCUCCGAAUUGAAGCCCCAGUAAACGGCGGCCGUAACUAUAACGGUCCUAAGGUAGCGAAAUUCCUUGUCGGGUAAGUUCCGACCCGCACGAAUGGUGUAACGAUCUGGGCACUGUCUCAACUACCCGCCCGGCGAAAUUGUAGUACCGGUGAAGAUGCCGGUUACCUGCGACAAGACGGAAAGACCCCAUGGAGCUUUACUGUAGCUUGAUAUUGGGUUUCGGUAAUUUAUGUACAGGAUAUGUGGGAGACUGGGAAGUUAUGGCGCCAGCCAUAAUGGAGUCGAUGUUGGGAUACCACACUUAGAUUGCUGGAAUUCUAACCUGUGGCCAUGAAACUGGUCAGGGGACAUUGUCAGGUGGGCAGUUUGACUGGGGCGGUCGCCUCCGAAAGAGUAACGGAGGCGCUCAAAGGUUGGCUCAGCACGGACGGAAACCGUGCAUUAGAGUGUAAACGCGAAAGCCAGCCUAACUGCGAGGGUGACGGCCCGAGCAGUAACGAAAGUUGGAGUUAGUGAUCCGGCGGUAUGUGAAUGGAAAUGCCGUCGCUCAACGGAUAAAAGCUACCCUGGGGAUAACAGGCUGAUCUCCCCCAAGAGUCCACAUCGACGGGGA
rnacentral:rRNA from 1 species